GUCCGGAUGACGAGUCCUAGAUAGGUCGAAACGCGCAUCCUGGAU
rfam:Trichobilharzia regenti genome assembly, scaffold: TRE_scaffold0014639